UUACUACCUGCUUUCAUAUAAUAGGAUUGAAACCCUGAAACUCCCAACCUUUAAAGGGGAAACAAAUUAAAACCCUAAAAACCUUCACUUCAAAGGGGCAACAGAUCACAUCAAUCAACACCUUCAUCUCAAUAAUCCUCAUUUCAUUUCUUCAAACCUGAACACAUAUUCAUCUACAACCUUUUUUCCAAGGUCGCGGAUGACGUCAGCGUUUUGAGGGUUUGCGAUUCCGGCGAUACUUCAAUUAACUACGACGAUUUUUGCGGUGUGAAUAGGGUAUGAACUCCGGUGACAUUCCGGUCAACCAAAGCUUCCGACCACGACGGUGGGGUGAACGACAAUGGUUCAGUGUAACCUUUUGUCUCUUUACACGCGAGGAGGGCGCACCCGACUCUAGCUGAGGAAACAAAUUGGAAUUGGCCAAACAACAGGAAACAAAUUAUUUAAGGUGUGACAAGUUAGGUCUCCAUCUCUCAAGUUUUGUCAAAGAACCAUUUGGCCUUGAAUUAAUAUGCUUUUGCUCCAA
rnacentral:lncRNA from 1 species